ensembl:lncRNA
GGGGGGGGGAGGGUUGCCCGCCAGCCGGCCGGCCAGGAAGUUUGCCUUGCAGGGCGACCGCGCUUUUCCCUCUCCCCACUAAGCCUGUUACGGGCACAUUCUCAUAUCCUUAAACGUACAAGCAGAUAAUUGUUGGCGCUCUAUCUUUGUACGGAGGAGGCCAGGGUGUAAAUGCCUUUUAAUGACUGCAGCUGCUGGCUGAAAACUGUCAAUGGAAUUGGCUAAUACGGAGCCCCCGGAAAAAGAGAGAGAGAGAGAGAGAGAGAGAGAGAGAGAGAGAAAGAGAGUGGGGGGGAAGGAGCCGUUUUUGCUAGCGAAGCUUCUCCUCCUGAGCGCCGCAAGAGCCGAAGAGAGGGACUUGGCGAGGGAAGAAAGAAAGAAAGAAAGAAAGAAAGAAAGAAAGAAAGAAAGAAAGAAAGAAAGAAAUGGUGGAGAUGGAGAAACAAGAGCGAGCGAGUCAGCAAUUGGAGGAAAGAUCUCAGCCAGCUCCCUACCCUCCUCUUCACCAAGGCCGGGGAGCUCAAGUCAUCUUGACCCUGAAAAUCCUUUCCGGAUCCUCCAUAAGCAACCACUACAUCUGGAACCUUUUGCAUCCAAAGAUAGGUGGUACUACCAAGCUAUUGGCCUCUGCAGAUUUCUGCUGGCAGGUCCUGAACCACUGGGAAUGGGAAGUCUGAAUGGAGAAGACUGGAGCAAAGAGAGGAAUCCUGUACCCAGCCCCUCAGCUCCAGUUCACCAACCUCAAAUGACUUAG